GGAUGUGGCUCAAGUGGUAGCGCGCUCGCCUGACAUGCGUGCGGCCCGGGUUCGAUCCUCAGCACCA
rnacentral:tRNA from 1 species